AGUCGAACGAAGUAGCAAUACUUAGUGGCAGACGGGUGAGUAACAUGUAGGUAUCUGCCCUUUGGCCUGGAAUAACACGAGGAAACUUGUGCUAAUACCGGAUAAGUCUUUACGGAGAAAGCUUUAUGCACCAUUGGAUGAGCCUGCACUUGAUUAGUUUGUUGGUGGGGUAAUGGCCUACCAAGACUGUGAUCAAUAGCUGAUUUGAGAGGAUGAUCAGCCACAUUGGGACUGAGACACGGCCCAAACUCCUACGGGAGGCAGCAGUGGGGAAUCUUGCACAAUGGAGGAAACUCUGAUGCAGCGAUGCCGCGUGAGUGAAGAAGGCCCUUGGGUUGUAAAGCUCUUUCGUCGGGGAAGAAAAUGACUGUACCCGAAUAAGAAGGUCCGGCUAACUUCGUGCCAGCAGCCGCGGUAAUACGAAGGGACCUAGCGUAGUUCGGAAUUACUGGGCUUAAAGAGUUCGUAGGUGGUUGAAAAAGUUGGUGGUGAAAUCCCAGAGCUUAACUCUGGAACUGCCAUCAAAACUUUUCAGCUAGAGUAUGAUAGAGGAAAGCAGAAUUUCUAGUGUAGAGGUGAAAUUCGUAGAUAUUAGAAAGAAUACCAAUUGCGAAGGCAGCUUUCUGGAUCAUUACUGACACUGAGGAACGAAAGCAUGGGUAGCGAAGAGGAUUAGAUACCCUCGUAGUCCAUGCCGUAAACGAUGUGUGUUAGACGUUGGAAAUUUAUUUUCAGUGUCGCAGCGAAAGCGAUAAACACACCGCCUGGGGAGUACGACCGCAAGGUUAAAACUCAAAUGAAUUGACGGGGACCCGCACAAGUAGUGGAGCAUGUGGUUUAAUUCGAAGAUACGCGCAGAACCUUACCAACACUUGACAUGUUCGUCGCGACUCUAAGAGAUUAGAGUUUUCGGUUCGGCCGGACGAAACACAGGUGCUGCAUGGCUGUCGUCAGCUCGUGUCGUGAGAUGUUGGGUUAAGUCCCGCAACGAGCGCAACCCUCACUUUUAGUUGCCAUCAUUUAGUUGGGCACUCUGAAAGAACUGCCAGUGAUAAGCUGGAGGAAGGUGGGGAUGACGUCAAGUCCUCAUGGCCCUUACGUGUUGGGCUACACACGUGCUACAAUGGUAUCUACAACAGGAAGCAAGACUGCGAGGUCAAGCAAAUCCUUAAAAGAUACCUCAGUUCGGAUUGCACUCUGCAACUCGAGUGCAUGAAGCUGGAAUUACUAGUAAUCGUGGAUCAGCGUGCCACGGUGAAUGCGUUCCCGGGUCUUGUACACACCGCCCGUCACACCAUGGGAGUUGGUUCUACCUUAAG
rnacentral:rRNA from 1 species